AUCGGCUGGCAGUAAGGCGGGGCCUCAGUUCAAGGGGCUGAAACAAUGGGGUUGAGCUCCUGCCCAGGAAUAUCUAUCUGGCUUGUCAACUGUGUUGUGCUGCUUCUCUGCUCUACAGCGUGUGCUUACCAGCUGGAGCUGACCCUGGCUCACAUAAACGAGACCACUCAACUCAGGAAGGGUGAAAGACCAGUUGGUCCUGUGAUCAUUGCUCGAAACUUGAGCUUGAAGAAUAAAAGCACGGAGACCUAAAAACAGAGGCCUGGGAGCACAGCUGUGGGUCAUGGCACAGCCAGCACCCCUGGUUCUCAUUUUAUCCAUGCUGCUUCAUACUUGC